rnacentral:rRNA from 1 species
UACAGAGGUCUCGAGCGUUAGGCGGAAUCACUGGGCUUAAAGCGUGUGUAGGCGGAUCGUUAAGUGCCUUGUGAAAUCCCCACGGCUCAACCGUGGAACUGCUUGGCAUACUGGCGGUCUUGAGCAACCUAGGGGCGAGCGGAACAAAUGGUGGAGCGGUGAAAUGCGUAGAUAUCAUUUGGAACGCCAAUGGUGAAAACAGCUCGCUGGGGGUUUGCUGACGCUGAGACACGAAAGCCAGGG